UAUUUUCAGCGAUGGAUGUCUUGGCUCGCGCAACGAUGAAGACGCAGUGAAAUGCGAGACGCAAUGUGAAUUGCAGAAUUCAGGGAAUCAUCAGAUUUCUGAACGCAAAUGGCACCUU
rnacentral:rRNA from 1 species